rnacentral:rRNA from 1 species
AUACGUAGGGGGCAAGCGUUGUCCGGAUUUACUGGGUAUAAAGGGAGCGCAGGCGGAUUCGUAAGUCAGGGGUGAAAUCCUACAGCUUAACUGUAGAACUGCCUUUGAUACUGCGAGUCUUGAGAUCGGAAGAGAGAGAUGGAAUUCCAGGUGUAGUGGUGAAAUACGUAGAUAUCUGGAAGAACACCAAUGGCGAAGGCAGUCUCUUGGUCCGUAUCUGACGCUGAGGCUCGAAAGCGUGGGGAGCAAACAGGAUUAGAAACCCCGGUAGUCC